CAAACUGGGAUUAGAUACCCCACUAUGCCUAGCCCUAAAUCUAGAUACCUCCCAUCACACAUGUAUCCGCCUGAGAACUACGAGCACAAACGCUUAAAACUCUAAGGACUUGGCGGUGCCCCAAACCCACCUAGAGGAGCCUGUUCUAUAAUCGAUAAUCCACGAUUCACCCAACCACCCCUUGCCAGCACAGCCUACAUACCGCCGUCGCCAGCCCACCUCUAAUGAAAGAACAACAGUGAGCUCAAUAGCCCCUCGCUAAUAAGACAGGUCAAGGUAUAGCCUAUGGGGUGGGAGAAAUGGGCUACAUUUUCUAACAUAGAACAAACGAAAAAGGACGUGAAACCCGCAGGAUUUAGCAGUAAAGUGAGAUCAUACCCCCUAAGCUCACUUUAAGACGGCUCUGAGGCACGUACACACCGCCCGUCACCCUC
rnacentral:rRNA from 1 species